UGCAAGGGCACUCUGUGUCACAUUGAAAUCCACAAGUGGAACAAUUUGUAACCUUGCUAUACUAAGUAUUUAUUUUGGAACUCUAAACUCUUGAUAUUAUUACAUUUU
rfam:Musca domestica strain aabys unplaced genomic scaffold Scaffold20170, whole genome shotgun sequence.